rnacentral:rRNA from 1 species
AUUGAACGCUGGCGGCAUGCCUUACACAUGCAAGUCGAACGGCAGCACGGGGCAACCUGGUGGCGAGUGGCGAACGGGUGAGUAAUGUAUCGGAACGUACCUUUCAGUGGGGGACAACGUAGCGAAAGUUACGCUAAUACCGCAUAUUCCGUGAGCAGGAAAGCAGGGGAUCGCAAGACCUUGCGCUGAUUGAGCGGCCGAUGUCAGAUUAGCUAGUUGGUGAGGUAAAGGCUCACCAAGGCGACGAUCUGUAGCGGGUCUGAGAGGAUGAUCCGCCACACUGGAACUGAGACACGGUCCAGACACCUACGGGAGGCAGCAGUGGGGAAUUUUGGACAAUGGGGGCAACCCUGAUCCAGCCAUGCCGCGUGAGUGAAGAAGGCUUUCGGGUUGUAAAGCUCUUUCGGCCGGGAAGAAAUCGCACGGGCUAAUACCCUGUGUGGAUGACGGUACCGGAAUAAGAAGCACCGGCUAACUACGUGCCAGCCGCCGCCGUAAAAC